UACGUAGGGGGCAAGCGUUGUCCGGAUUUAUUGGGCGUAAAGAGCGUGUAGGCGGCCGUACAGGUCAGCUGUGAAAACUCGAGGCUCAACCUCGAGACGUCGGUUGAAGCCGUACGGCUAGAGUCCGGAAGAGGAGAGUGGAAUUCCUGGUGUAGCGGUGAAAUGCGCAGAUAUCAGGAAGAACACCCGUGGCGAAGGCGGCUCUCUGGAACGCAACUGACGCUGAGACGCGAAAGCGUGGGGAGCAAACAGG
rnacentral:rRNA from 1 species